CCUUGCCUUGCCCAAACAAGCAUACCCCAGUCCAUGAUAUAAGUGCUGUAAACGGACGCAUAUACCCUCCCCAUUUUCUCAAAAAUUACAACAUGCCACCGGCAUUUCCUCGCUCGCUCUCCCUCCUCCGUCUCCCAGUCUCUUUUGAAACUUCCAUCGAUGACGGAGAAUUGCAUCGGCAAAGUUGCAGUCACUGGUUUUCAGGGCUCUCCGGCGAGCACGAUUCUCUUCCACAACAACCAAAAUCAGGGCAGCUUGAGACGCUAAAAUUGUUCAAAACCAUGUUGGAGCGCCUCAUAGCAGUCCUACAUAUAUCCAAGAGAAGCAUUUGGCCUGGUUUGAAAGACGUGUCGGUCUCAUAUGAGAAGCAGAUAGUAAAUUUUGUUAAUAUAAAUAGACCGAGGAAGCAAGUUCCUCCUCUGCAACAAGGGCAGCUCCCCCCACCUCAUAUGCACUCCAUUCAGCAGUCGCAAUCUCAAAUUCCUAAACUUUGGUGCUUGACCAAAGAGUAUUCAAUGGUUAAGUUAGAUUGCGAGGAGGAAGAACUGCAUUAGAGUUUCUUCUUGUUUUCUAUCGGCCUUUGCUACUAGGAAUGCACACUUAUUAUAGAGGAGUUCUAGUUUUAUUAGGAAUGUGUGAUUCGAUUAUGAGCAGGUUUCUUUGUUCCAGUUAUAACCAAGGGGUCUCACCCUUAACGUAACUUCCUGUAAGAGUUUGGAAUUGAAUUGCCUUCUAGGAUGGUAGUUGCCAGAAAAUGCCGGAAAGGAACAGUAAUUGGACCUGGCUCGACUUUGCAGUUUGCUUUGAUCAUUAUUAUGCUUCAUGGUUAAAACUUGCAAGCUAUUAGUGACAAGUUAAUUAUUUGCUAUUAGUGAAUUUGAAGCUCUUCGUGAUGGUCAAAUGAUAACAAUUGAAAUAGGUGAUAUUUGGUUGCAUUUAAGGUAGUUAUUUUGGUCAUGACUUAAACAUGGCAAACACCAUUGCCCAUGUUUAGAGAUGUUAAAACUUGGAUUUCCAAUUACUGUUAGUGUUUCUAAUAUACCCGUGCAUCAUAUCUUGAAUCCCAGUACACUGACGUUGCUGAAGCAGACCAUUCUUUAAUAUUAGAGCAUUUUCAGCAAGCAACAAUGAGGUGGAAUCCAGAAGUCAGUGCUCAAUCAGCAGUUGAUAGUGAGUCUGUGAAAGAUGAACGAAAAUCUCAUAUGAUAGUUGCAACAGAUGCAUGCCUUCUGCUGCUUUGCUUCUGGGGAGUCACCUAUAGCUGCUCGUGUUCUUAGAAAUUAUGAGUUACCGACAAAGAAGUUGUUAACAUGGGACUGCAUGUGUUUUUGCCACAGCUUCAUCAAAUGAAGGAUGUAAAUGACUUGAAGAUGAAACAGGGGAUGGGCGUUAAGCCAUGGGUUAUUCGGCAACAUAUGUCCUCAUGCCAGUGUUAUCAUUUCCAUCAGCAGUUGAAUAUUUUGCAGUCACCAAUUCAGCCAUUAAGACUGCUUGUUCCCACAAACUAUCCCAACUGUUAUCCAAUACUCUUGGACAAGUUGCCAGUUGAGUCAGUACACUGACGUUGCUGAAACAGACCGUUCUUUAAUAUUAGAGCAUUUUUGGCAAGUAACAAUGAGGUAGAACCCAGAAGUCAGUGCUCAAUCAGCAGUUGAUAGUGAUGAACAAAAAUCUCAUACGAUAGUUGCCACAGAUGCAUGCCUUCCGCUGCUUGCUUCUGGGGAGUCAGCUAUAGCCGCUCGUGUUCUUAUAAAUUAUGAGUUACCGGCAAAGAAGGAAGCAGCUGAACAUAGAAUUGACGGGGAUGGAUUUAUUGGGAAACGGCACAUAGUGGUUGUUAAAGAUCUUCCCUUUUCGGACCAAAGGUUAAAUGGAAAGAUCCCAAGGGUAACAACUUUCAAAAUGCUGCCCCAUCAUCUUUUUGCUCAUGCAAAGUAUUCCAUUUGGGUAGACUCAAAGUCCCAAUAUAGGAGGGACUCUUAGGUGUGCUCGAAGUCCUGCUUUGGCGUUCAAAUUCUGUACUUGUGUCUCAGAACAUGGAGCACGGAGUAGCAUUUAUGAUGAGGUGAAGGCUAUUGUUAAAAAAAAAUGGGCCAAAUCAGAAGAAGUUGAGGUGCAGUUGACUCAAUACCAAUAUGAUGGCAUGCCAGAAGACAAGAGGUUCAAUGGAAAGAAGGCUUUAUCUGAAGCAUCUGUUAUCGUGAGGGAGCAUACACCAUUGACUAAUAUGUUUAUGUGCCUCUGGUUCAACGAGGUGGUUCAAUUCACUUCUCGUGAUCAGCUUAGUUUCCCAUAUGUUUUAUGGCGGCUGAAAGUGCUUGAGAACGUCAACGUGUUCCCUGUGUGUACCCGGAAAGAUCUCGUUAAUAGUAUGGGUCACAUACGCAAGGCUAAGCCACUCGGAAGUUGAGUCUUAGGUAAUGGGGUAGUGCUUCCAAUUUAUUGAACAGGGGUGCGCUGGGGCACUCUCGGGCAUACCUGGGCUGUAGUAAAUUCCUUCAUUUGUUCGUAAUUUCAGCUGGCGCUUCCAUAUUUGAAUUUUGUUCAUAAACAUUUCUGAGUUUUCUCCAUUGCACAUCAAAAGUGCUCAUAAAACAAGAGCUGUUAGAUCCCGUUAGAACAAUCAAUCUAACGGCUCUUAUUAUAGUGUGCAACUCAAACUGCACCUUUCAUGUGCAUUAGAGAAAUCCUCUUA